AGAAAGGGCCACGGUCUAGCCAACGGAGCGCUUCGUAUUUACGUCACGUGAGACGCGCUGUUCGGUUGCGUUGCUCCAGCAACCUGCUAGCAAAUUAGCUGAAAAGGAUCCAGAAACUUUACUUUUACAUUUUUUGGAGAUCACCGUCGGAGAUUAAAUAAAGAGAACCAUGGCCAGAUGAUGUCCCACUGACACCAGGUCAGCACCUCCAGGUCCAGCAGCACCGUGACCCCCCGCUCUGCUGAAAUACACAAUUAAACAUUUUCUAUGACCUAUUUUUUGUAUUAAUAAAAUUAAACUGAAGACAGUU